UAUAACCAAUCCCAGGUCAUAUGUACUACCUUCCGCCAGCCUCUCUGACAGAGGAAGCGUGUAAAGUCAGGAACUGGGAUAAGAGUGGAAAGAAUGGUGAUCUAGUUUCAGGUGCCAGAUAUCUCACCAUAAACCAUUCACCCUAGUGGACAUCGAUCAGGAGAUAUUCCUCUUGAAAAGAGAUGAUAAGUCUGAAGGAGAAUGUGACCUAGAUGCGGAAGACCUAAGAGAAGAUCAGGAUGACGAUUACUGUCAACUAAACAAUCACUCUGGAAGCAGUGAUUCAGAUUAUGCUGAAAACGUAGUUAUUCAGCCAGCAGCAGAAAAUGUAUACAUACAAGAAGAUGUCAGAAGGGACAGAUCAACACAUGCCUCCCAAGACCAUGUAAUGUGUUGCUGGGUACUGAUGGCAUCACGAAAUGGACUGUAGCAGAGUUUGGAAAGACCACAUCUGGCAGAUUGGCGAAUCUCAUCAUGAGAGAAAAUCCAGGACCUACACCAGAUUCAAAGCAGUAUGUUUCUGACGCCAGUGUAGUAAGUGCAUAGUGUCUGUUUACUGAUGAAUCAAUACUGAAAGACACUGUACGGAAACGGAGGCAAAACAUGUUCUAGGGAAUGAAUUAUGGGGUGUAAGUUUGGAGAGCUGGAGGCUUUUAUUGCCUUAUUGAAUGCUCGGUGUGUUCUUGGAGCCAACUUGAUGAACUGUGGCCUAAAAAGUGGGGCCCACCUAUGUUCAGUGAUACUAUGGGGAGAAACUGCUUUCGAGAAAUUCUAAGAUUUUUGUGCUUCGACAUUAGAAACACAAGAUCAGAAUGUUUGAAGAUAGAUAAAUUUGCUUUAGUAUCAAAAGUUUGGAACAAAUUCAUUGAAAACUGCCAUUUGACCAUGUUCCGGGUGAAAAUCUGACUGCUGAUGAACAGCUUUUUCCAAGCAAAACAAAACCAGAAAAAUUUGGCAUAAAAUUUUGGCUUCUUGUUAACAUUGACUCAAAGUUUCUGUGCAAUGGGUUCCCUUAUUUACGAAAAGACGGCCACAGAUCACGUGACCAGACUCUUCCGGAAAGAGUAGUAAUGGAGUUGAUGGAGCCGUUUCAAAAGAAGGGGCGAAACAUUGACAACGGGCAAUUUUUUUACAACAGUGAAACUGGGCGAGAAGUUGAGAACUAAUGGUACUAGCAUUUUUGGAACAAUUAGACAAUCAAGAAGAGAAAUCUCUAAUGCUGUGAAGGCAAUGGAGGCUAAUCUUUACAACUCAGGUCUCUUCAAACAUUCCAUUGGCACUAUUGCUGUAUACCAAGGCAAACAAAACAAGAAUGUGCUUUGGUAUAGCACUUUGCAUUCAGAAGUUGAACUUCAAACUGGUCCACAAAAAACUCUAGAAACAGUUUAUUUCUACAACAAUACAAAGUAUGGUGCUGAUGUGGUGGAUCAAAUGACAAGAAAAUACACUGUUCGAGCUGGUAUUUGUAGAUGGCCAGUUCAUGUAUUUUAUAAUAUUCUUGACUUGGUAAGCAUCAGUUCAUGGAUCAUUUUCAAGAAAGUAACAGGGAUGAAGAUCAUUCAUCAAAAUUAUAUCCUGAAGCUAGCAGAGGAGCUUUGUAUGGGGCACAUGGACUCGAAAAGUAACUUGAAGGAAAUAGAAGCUGAAUCUGGAAACUCUGUGGAAGGAAAUAAAAUGAGGAGACCAUGUCAAAUAAAGAAGUGUAGGAAUAACACAAUUAUAUCUGCAAAAAGUGCAAACGGCGAAUGUAUGGUUCUUGUUCAAAGGACAUAACUAAGGAUGUGGUAUGUAGUUCCUGCUGCUAAAGAUAUGCAAUACACAUCAGUGAGUGCAAAUAAACUGAAGAAAAAGACAGGCAGUGUUUUACAAAUAUUUUGUCGUAUGUGGAUUUGGCAAACAGAUUUCAUGAUUAUAAGUGCACUACCUGAAAUACUGCAUAAUUAAUUUUAUAAUAAUGAGUGCACAAUAAAUACAUCAACUUCUUUACUAA